GCUGCCGUUGACAAAGCUACACUCACACCUACGGCAAAAAGACGCACGAAGGCUAGCAGACGUCGCAUUUUCUCUGGUUCCCUCUCCUAUACCAGCUCCUCUGCAUAAACUAAAAACGUCCAGCGGUUGCCGUGAAGGCUGCCAUCUAGCCGAACGAGCUGUCGCAGGAACCCGCGGUUUGGGAUGAUGCCGCGGCGGUCCUUCACCGUCUUGAUAGCCUCCACGAGAGUCAUAUUCUGCCGGAUCAUCAAGUACGCCAGCACCAGCGUGGCUGACCGGCUGACUCCGACAGCACAGUGCACCAGGAUCUUCCCUGCGGAAACCCCAGGGGCAAAAGCGUAGGCAGCAACAAGGUCAGCGUACCAUUUGACCACUGUACGAGGCAGGCUAGUUACUCAGAAGUUAGCACAAACUUACGAGUUGGCUGAGUUGCUUUUCACAAAUAUUUUUUCCUUUGUAAGCAAUGACCUCAGACAGACCUAAAGCCACCUUUGGGUACAUGAACCAUCCACAUAGUGUUCAAAGAGAUACGCUACUCCCACAUCAAAGGCCGCAAAACUCAGAUUAAUUACUAAUUUCAAACGUACUGUGUUUGCGCCAACAGCAAGCGGGCACCGCCCCUCUCUCACCUCCGCCACUGAGAGCCUUGUGUAUGAAGUCCGCUGCCGGGUAGAAGUUGACACUCAUGUCAUAAUCAGGGGUGUCGUGCGCUUCCACACCCUCGUACGUGAUGUGCAUGCCCUCAUAGCGCUCAGCACCACCUCGCCACUUGCUGUGUGCGCAGUUCAGGAUGUGAGUGAUGCCAAGCGUCGCUAGCUCAUGACGAUUUGCUGCUAUUUCCCUGUAAAAUUAGACAUUCAUAUGCAUACAGCGCAUUAAAACUGGUGGCAUCAAAACUAUUACUGGUAUAUUACUUGAAAUUGUGGAAAUAUUUUUUGGAAACAAUAUUUGAAGUCCUCCCUCUUUCAAUUCUAUAGUUUCACAUAUUAGGACAUAACUAACCUUCAAUAUAAGCGUUAAGUUAUAAACCAGUCUUUUGACAAGUUCAGUUUAUACAGUAGUGCAAAACUCAACUGAUCACCAAGAUAAAGCCUGGGAUAAACCUCGUCCGCGUGGCUGUUGAUUGAUUUCCCUGUGUAGAGGAGACGCUCAAGUUCGAAUACCGUCAGCAUGGGGGAGCUGAGGUCCAAAUCUUGGCUUCUUGCAGAUGUCGAACUGCUCCUGGACGAUGUAGAGAAUCUCGACACGUAAGACAUUGUAAAGGACACCUAGAAAAUACCCGUUUAAACGGGAGAAAAGUUAAAACUGUAAGUGAGGUGAGAAGUUUGACUAGAAUUUUUUUUUUUUUUUUUUUUGCAAUUUAGUCAAAUGCGUAAUUCCCAUGUAGACCGAGUUAGACUUCGUCUCUUCGUAAAACCAAUCACGUUUAUAAAAUAGUUUUUUUAAUCAAAAGUUUUCACACGACCGAUACAUUUAUACUACAAGCCCACUUUUGCAAACCCAGCCGUAUUUUUUAUAUAUCACCACAUGAAAUGAACUCAUAAAAUGCCAUCAUAUCUGGUCAUUCUAUGUUCAGUGUCAUUAGAUACAUGAAAUAUGACGAUUAGCUCUGAUUCUUGCCUAAAUUAUUUAGUUUAAAGUUCGAUAAGCAAGUGAUGUCUUUCAAGCUAUUUACAGGAGCACAAGGUAUUUCAUUGCUACAAGUUCCACUUAUCUCCGCUCAACGAAAUACAGCCUUAUUCUCGACCAGUAAAUCCAGAUAGCGUCAUUAUAAACUAACAGUUGCUGAGAACAGAGCAUAUAUUCCAAACGCGUUGUUUUAAAAAUAAAUAAAUAACCAUAAUAGC